CCGGAGGAAGGUGGGGAUGACGUCAAGUCAUCAUGGCCCUUACGGCCAGGGCUACACACGUGCUACAAUGGCGCGUACAGAGGGCUGCAAGCUAGCGAUAGUGAGCGAAUCCCAAAAAGCGCGUCGUAGUCCGGAUCGGAGUCUGCAACUCGACUCCGUGAAGUCGGAAUCGCUAGUAAUCGCAAAUCAGAAUGUUGCGGUGAAUACGUUCCCGGGCCUUGUACACACCGCCCGUCACACCAUGGGAGUGGGUUGCACCAGAAGUAGAUAGCUUAACCUUCGGGAGGGCGUUUACCACGGUGUGAUUCAUGACUGGGGUGAAGUCGU
rnacentral:rRNA from 1 species